GGGUGCACUGCCGACCGACCCAGAUCUUCUGUGAAGGGCUCGAGUCCGAGCAUACCUGUUGGGACCCGAAAGAUGGUGAACUAUGCCCGAGCAGGGUGAAGCCAGAGGAAACUCUGGUGGAGGCCCGUAGCGAUACUGACGUGCAAAUCGUUCGUCUGACUUGGGUAUAGGGGCGAAAGACUAAUCGAACCGUCUAGUAGCGAACCGGGACGUGGCGGCCGGCGGCAACGUCAGGGAAUCCGGAGACGUCGGCGGGGGCCCCGUGAAGAGUUAUCUUUUCCUUUUAACAGCCUGCCCACCCUGGAAUCGGUUCAAUCGGAGAUAGGGUCCAGCGGCUGGAAGAGCACCGCAGGUCCCGUGGUGUCCGGUGCCCCCGGCGGCCCUUGAAAAUCUGGAGGACGGAAAAGGAUUGGCUCUGAGGGCUGGGCCUAGGGGUCUNGCGCCCCAAACUCGCGGGCUGUCGACGGUCUGCCCGAGCUGCUACGCGUGCCGGUCGGGAGACGGCCGGGGGGGCUUUCCCUAGGCGGCGAACAGUCGACUCAGAACUGGUGCGGACAAGGGGAAUCCGACUGUUUAAUUAAAACAAAGCAUUGCGAUGGU
rnacentral:rRNA from 1 species